rnacentral:rRNA from 1 species
UACAGAGGGGGCAAGCGUUAUUCGGAAUUAUUGGGCGUAAAGGGUGCGUAGGCGGCGCGGUAAGUCGGGUGUGAAAUCUCGGGGCUUAACUCCGAAACUGCAUUCGAUACUGCCGUGCUUGAGGACUGGAGAGGAGACUGGAAUUCCUGGUGUAGCGGUGAAAUGCGCAGAUAUCAGGAGGAACACCGGUGGCGAAGGCGGGUCUCUGGGCCGAUACUGACGCUGAGGAGCGAAAGCGUGGGGAGCGAACAGG